GGACUUGUAGCUUAGUGGUAGGGCAUCUGCUCUGCAAGCAAAAGGUCCCUGGUUUGACUCUCCGUAUCUUCAGGGAGGACUU